rnacentral:rRNA from 1 species
GACGAACGCUGGCGGCGUGCUUAACACAUGCAAGUCGAGCGGUAAGGCCCUUUCGGGGGUACGACGAGCGGCGAACGGGUGAGUAACACGUGGGUGACCUGCCCUCAGCUCUGGGAUAAGCCCGGGAAACCGGGUCUAAUACUGGAUAUGACUCCAUGACGCAUGUUGUGGGGUGGAAAGCCUUGUGCGGCUGAGGAUGGGCCCGCGGCCUAUCAGCUUGUUGGUGGGGUGAUGGCCUACCAAGGCGACGACGGGUAGCCGGCCUGAGAGGGCGACCGGCCACACUGGGACUGAGACACGGCCCAGACUCCUACGGGAGGCAGCAGUGGGGAAUCUUGCGCAAUGGGCGAAAGCCUGACGCAGCGACGCCGCGUGAGGGAUGACGGCCU